UCCUUGAUGGUCCAGUGGCUAGGACUCUGUGCUUCUGACGCAGGAGGCCUGGGUUUGAUCCCUGGUCAGGGAA